rnacentral:rRNA from 1 species
CAGCAGCCGCGGGAAUACGAAGGGGGCUAGCGUUGUUCGGAUUUACCGGGCGUAAAGGGCGCGUAGGCGGACUGAUAAGUCAGGGGUGAAAUCCCAAGGCUCAACCUUGGAACUGCCUUUGAUACUGUUUGUCGUGAGUUCGAGAGAGGUAAGUGGAACUGCGAGUGUAGAGGUGAAAUUCGUAGAUAUUCGCAAGAACACCAGUGGCGAAGGCGGCUUACUGGCUCGAAACUGACGCUGAGGCGCGAAAGCGUGGGGAGCAAACAGGAUUAGAUACCCCCGUAGUCCCUGUCUCUUAUAU